rnacentral:rRNA from 1 species
AGAGUUUGAUCAUGGCUCAGAGCGAACGCUGGCGGCAGGCCUAAUACAUGCAAGUCGAGCGCACCUUCGGGUGAGCGGCGGACGGGUGAGUAACGCGUGGGAACGUGCCCUUUGGUACGGAACAACUGAGGGAAACUUCAGCUAAUACCGUAUGUGCCCUUCGGGGGAAAGAUUUAUCGCCAUUGGAGCGGCCCGCGUUGGAUUAGGUAGUUGGUGAGGUAAAGGCUCACCAAGCCUACGAUCCAUAGCUGGUCUGAGAGGAUGAUCAGCCACACUGGGACUGAGACACGGCCCAGACUCCUACGGGAGGCAGCAGUAGGGAAUCUUGCGCAAUGGGCGAAAGCCUGACGCAGCCAUGCCGCGUGAAUGAUGAAGGUCUUAGGAUUGUAAAAUUCUUUCAGCGGGGACGAUAAUGACGGUACCCGCAGAAGAAGCCCCGGCUAACUUCGUGCCAGCAGCCGCGGUAAUUC